rnacentral:misc_RNA from 1 species
GUGGCGUCGAGUUUUGAGGAAUUGGGGUUGACGGAAGAGGUUAUGGGGGCUUUAGGUGAAAUGGGUAUUUCGGAACCGACUGAGAUUCAGUCGAUUGGUAUACCUGCUGUGAUUGAAGGGAAAAGUGUGGUAUUGGGUUCACAUACGGGUUCUGGGAAGACUCUUGCUUAUAUGUUGCCUAUUGUUCAGUUGUUGAGGCGAGAUGAGGAAUUGGAUGGUAUGCUCAUGAAGCCUAGGCGCCCCCGAGCUGUUGUGUUGUGCCCUACUAGGGAGCUCUGUGAGCAGGUUUUUCGUGUGGCAAAAUCUAUCAGUCAUCAUGCUCGAUUUAGAUCUACCAUGGUUAGUGGUGGCGGACGUCUGAGACCUCAAGAAGAUUGUUUGGCAAGCCCAAUUGACAUGAUUGUGGGGACUCCAGGCAGGGUUCUACAACAUAUUGAAGAGGGAAAUAUGGUUUAUGGUGACAUCAGAUACUUGGUCUUGGAUGAGGCUGAUACCAUGUUUGAUCGUGGUUUUGGUCCAGAUAUACGAAAAUUUCUUGCGCCAUUGAAAAACCGUGCUUCAAAGACUGAUGAUGAAGGAUUUCAAACCGUUUUGGUGACGGCAACAAUGACAAAGGCAGUUCA